rnacentral:rRNA from 1 species
AAACUGUGCAAUGCGCGAAAGCGCGACACGGGAAGCCUGAGUGCCUUAACUAUGUUAAGGCUUUUCUUGAGCCUAAAAAGCUCAAGGAAUAAGAACUGGGUAAGACGGGUGCCAGCCGCCGCGGUAACACCCGCGGUUCGAGUGGUAGUCACUUUUAUUGAGCCUAAAGCGUUUGUAGCCGGAUUUGUAAAUCUCCAGGAAAAGACUUCAGCUCAACUGAAGAAAUUUUGGAGAGACUGCAAAUCUAGGGACCGGGUGAGGUUGAAUGUACUUCUGGGGUAGGGGUAAAAUCCUGUAAUCCUGGAAGGACGACCGGUGGCGAAGGCGUUCAACUAGAACGGAUCCGACGGUGAGGAACGAAGGCUAGGGGAGCAAACCGGAUUAGAUACCCGGGUAGUCCUAGCUGUAAACACUGCCCACUUGGUGUUGCAUCUCCGGUAAGGGGGUGCAGUGCCGUAGCGAAGGUGUUAAGUGGGCCGCUUGGGGAGUAUGGUCGCAAGGCUGAAACUUAAAGGAAUUGGCGGGAGAGCACCGCAACGGGAGGAGCGUGCGGUUUAAUUGGAUUCAACGCCGGAAAACUCACCGGAGGCGACCUAUGUAUGAGAGUCAACCUGAUGAGUUUACUCGAUAGUAGGAGAGGUGGUGCAUGGCCGUCGUCAGCUCGUACCGUAGGGCGUUCACUUAAGUGUGAUAACGAGCGAGACCCCCAUCUUCAAUUGCUAAUUCAAUCGUGAGGUUGGAAGAACUUUGAAGGGAC